rnacentral:rRNA from 1 species
GGAUGAACGCUGGCGGCGUGCCUACUCCAUGCAAGUCGAGCGAACAGACGAGGAGCUUGCUCCUCUGACGUUAGCGGCGGACGGGUGAGUAACACGUGGAUAACCUACCUAUAUGACUGGGAUAACUUCGGGAAACCGGAGCUAAUACCGGAUAAUAUAUUGAACCGCAUGGUUCAAUAGUGAAAGACGGUUUUGCUGUCACUUAUAGAUGGAUCCGCGCCGCAUUAGCUAGUUGGUAAGGUAACGGCUUACCAAGGCAACGAUGCGUAGCCGACCUGAGAGGGUGAUCGGCCACACUGGAACUGAGACACGGUCCAGACUCCUACGGGAGGCAGCAGUAGGGAAUCUUCCGCAAUGGGCGAAAGCCUGACGGAGCAACGCCGCGUGAGUGAUGAAGGUCUUCGGAUCGUAAAACUCUGUUAUUAGGGAAGAACAAAUGUGUAAGUAACUAUGCACGUCUUGACGGUACCUAAUCAGAAAGCCACGGCUAACUACGUG